UACGUAGGGUGCGAGCGUUGUCCGGAAUUAUUGGGCGUAAAGGGCUCGUAGGCGGUUUGUCGCGUCGGGAGUGAAAUCCACAGGCUUAACUGGUGGCUUGCUUUCGAUACGGGCAGACUGGAGGUAUGCAGGGGAGAACGGAAUUCCUGGUGUAGCGGUGAAAUGCGCAGAUAUCAGGAGGAACACCGGUGGCGAAGGCGGUUCUCUGGGCCGAUACUGACGCUGAGGAGCGAAAGCGUGGGGAGCGAACAGG
rnacentral:rRNA from 1 species